rnacentral:rRNA from 1 species
GAGUUUGAUCCUGGCUCAGGAUGAACGCUGGCGGCGUGCCUAAUACAUGCAAGUCGAGCGCGUGAAAUUAAACAGAUCUCUUCGGAGUGACGUUUAAUGGAUCGAGCGGCGGAUGGGUGAGUAACACGUGGGCAACCUGCCUAUAAGACUGGGAUAACUUACGGAAACGUGAGCUAAUACCGGAUAAAACCUUUUGUCUCCUGACAAGAGGAUAAAAGAUGGCGCAAGCUAUCACUUAUAGAUGGGCCCGCGGCGCAUUAGCUAGUUGGUGAGAUAAAAGCUCACCAAGGCAACGAUGCGUAGCCGACCUGAGAGGGUGAUCGGCCACACUGGGACUGAGACACGGCCCAGACUCCUACGGGAGGCAGCAGUAGGGAAUCUUCCGCAAUGGACGAAAGUCUGACGGAGCAACGCCGCGUGAACGAAGAAGGUCUUCGGAUCGUAAAGUUCUGUUGUUAGGGAAGAACACGUACCAUUCGAAUAGGGUGGUACCUUGACGGUACCUAACGAGAAAGCCCCGGCUAACUACGUGCCAGCAGCCGCGGUAAUACGUAGGGGGCAAGCGUUGUCCGGAAUUAUUGGGCGUAAAGCGCGCGCAGGCGGUUUUUUAAGUCUGAUGUGAAAUCUUGCGGCUCAACCGCAAGCGGUCAUUGGAAACUGGAGAACUUGAGGACAGAAGAGGAGAGUGGAAUUCCACGUGUAGCGGUGAAAUGCGUAGAGAUGUGGAGGAACACCAGUGGCGAAGGCGACUCUCUGGUCUGUAACUGACGCUGAGGCGCGAAAGCGUGGGUAGCGAACAGGAUUAGAUACCCUGGUAGUCCACGCCGUAAACGAUGAGUGCUAGGUGUUAGGGGGUUUCCGCCCCUUAGUGCUGGCGUUAACGCAUUAAGCACUCCGCCUGGGGAGUACGGCCGCAAGGCUGAAACUCAA